CGCUGCUCUAGUCUGUUUUGUUGCAUUUUUAUUAGUUAAUAAUAAAAAAUAUAAAAUUAUAAAAUUAAAAUAUAUUUACAGAUCUUUUCUUUUCCCUCACGCACUGUCACUUUAUUUACGUCGGCAGCGGAGGACGGUGCGCGUGUUGUAGUCCUUUCUCUGGGAGUUGUAGUUUUUACUGAACAGUUGUAGUUUCCUCCGCAGAGAAAACAGCUCCUUCUCCUCACUGCUCCUCGGUCCUAAACCAGGACUAAACCAAGUCUAAAACAGGACUAAACCAGGACUAAACCAGGACUAAACUAGGACUAAACCAGGUCUAAACCAGGUCCAAACCAGGUAUUUGUGAGUCCAGUUUGUUGGUGUUAAAGUGUGGUCAGUGUCGCCCUCUAGUGGACAGUUGGAGUCUGGUUUCGUUUUCCUGGUUCUGAGUUGGGUUUCGUUUCUGUCAGGUUUGUGUGAGUCUUGGGCGCAGUUGAAAAGGGCUCAGGUCACUCGGGUCUCCUCACACCGGGUCAGCUUUGCUCUUGCAGUGUUCCAGACUCGAAGGUUCUGCUCGAGGAAGUGAAGGAACCCAAAAAAGCCCGUCUCACUGAAGCCGGUGCCACCGUCGAAGUCACAAGAUCCACAAACACCUCAGAUUUCAAUGGAGAAACGCCGUACAGAUCCAGAGGAAGAACCAGGUCGCUUGGGCAGAGCAGCGGCUGUGAGAUCUUCUCUGAGGAACCCGGAACCUGAACCUGAAGCCACCGGAGCCAGGCCUAAGACCGGGCAGCCCUCCAGAAAAUCCAGCUCCAAGUGUGAGGAGGUUACAGAAAAAAGUGAAAAGGAGAAAACCAAAUUGCUCCUUUCUUGUUUUUACUGUAAGGGAGAUCACGCCUUUCAAGAGUGUCUCCAGUUUGCACAAAAUCCACAAGAACAAAAGCUGGAGUUCUUGAGAAAGGCCGGCCUCUGUUUCGGGUGUUUGGGUGAAGGUCAUCGUUCACGAAACUGUCGCUCGAGAAUCGUCUGCUCCAUUUGCUCCAAGGACCAUCCGAGAAUUCUGCACAAAAAGACAAUACACGAAACGAUGAAGGAACUUUUGGAAAGUAAUUUGGUAUAUAUAGGGGGUAAAAAGUGAACACGAAAAUGAAAACUCAACUUCUUUUGGCGCCCAAACCAAACAAACAAACAAAUCAUGACCAUGAUUAUGAAAAGCAAAUCAGAAAUUACAUAAAAUGUUACAGGUAUAAUCUAGGACUAAACCAGAUCUAUAACAGGACUAUCCUAGGUCUAAAGCAGGUCUAAUCUAGGACUAAACCAGGUCUGUAACAGGACUUUCCUAGGUCUAAAGCAGGUCUAAUCUAGAACUAAACCAGGCCUAUAACAGGACUAUUCUUGGUUUAAUGUAAAUCUAAACCAGGUCUAUAACAGGACUAGUCCUGGUCUAAUUUUGGUCUAAAAAUGGUCUGUAACAGGACUAUUUCAGGUCUAAUCUAGGACUAAACCAGGCCUAUUCCAGGUCUAAAGCAGGUCUAAAUUAAGUCUAUAACAAGACUAAUGUCUAAGUCUAAACCAGGUCUGUAACAGGAUUAUUCCAGGUCUAAUUUUGGUCUAAACUAGACUAAUCUAGGACUAUACCACGUCUAUAACAGGACUAUCCUAGGUCUAAACCAGGUCUAGAAUAGGACUGUUCCAGGUCUAAUUUUGGUCUAAAACAGGUCUAUAAAAGAACAAUUUCAGGUCUAAUCUAGGACUAAACCAGGUCUAUUGUAGGUCUAAAUCAGGUCUAUAACAAGACUAAUCUUGGACUAAACCAGGUUUAGAACAGGACUGUUCCAGAUCUAAUUAAGGUCUAAACCAGGUCUAUUCCAAACAUCAUCGUUAUGAAUGACCAAUGCGAGCAGAAUUUUCAGACUUUUUUAGUCUCUCUGGAGCAUUCUAGCACCAAAUCUUCACUGAACUUUCUUGGGGAUCAAUAAAGUAAAUCUAUCGAUCUAUUUAUCUAUCUGUCUAUCUUCUGUAUCUGCUUCAUCUCUCCCUCCUCUGCGUGAGGGCGGAGUCUUGAUGGAAUCACCGCCUUUAAGGCAAAUGAAGCCUCAGUUCUGAAGCCGGACUUUGCCAGAGUUUUCCGUCCUCUUCCGUGAUGAUCUUUAAAACAUCAGAACUUUGAGCUCUCGAAAUCUAUUUCCUUGUUUUCUGCUGUCGGUCUCCUGCGUCUUUGAGGUUGGGGCACGGUUUAAACUUUUGAAACUGCAAACCCAAGAACCACAACCCUUUGGAUUUGGAUUGUGGACUGUUUAUUGGGACCACUGACCUUCCAUGAACGUCUAAUAUCUGCAUGUGUAAGUCUUGCCAUUUUUUUUUGUUAUUUGCCAUCUCAAGUCAAGUGAAGAAUUAUAGAUCGUAGCUCCAAGUGCCUGGCUUUACCGCAGUAAACAAAGAGCCUCUAUACUGAAUCCUCCGUGGCGCCAUUUUGUUUUGCAUAUCAUUUGCUUUGUUGGGUGAACUGAAAAAACCCGAUGAGUUUUUGGAAUAUAGACCAAGGUUUAUUCUUGUUACAGCAGAUAUGGACAGGGUCUAGGCCUGUUUCGGCCAAAGCCCAACAGCCUCUCACCCCUGUCUCCUCCCGUCUCUUCCCAUCUCCCUCCCCAGAGCCUUUGAGCUCUGAGUAUUUAUACAGAAAUACAAGUCACAUACAUACAUAUCAAUGCAGAGUGACUUGUUUGAGAGGCGGGUGCUUAAUUAACAUACAGUUGUUGAUAACAAAAGGCUUCCUGAAGGCGGAGACAGUUGUGCCUGAUGAACCUUUACACAUGUUCAUGACUGGUCUGGGUUUCAGGUAGAAAUCACAUUAAUUUACACAAGACAGAUUGAGAGAAAUCUUUCCACAAUCUAAAUUUCUAUCACACAUUCUCCCUUUUGAUUAUUCAUUAAUCAUACUUUAUAAACAGUCAUUGUCACACACAUAAUAUGUGGAAAAUUUAAAACAGUCCAUGGAGUUAAAGUGAGUUCCAUUAGUUGGAGGCAAAUUCAACAGUUCACUUUUAAGGAGGAUUGUUUUUGUUCAGUUUGUUCAUUUCCAGUAUGAUUUGUAGUCACAAGUAGAAUAUCGCUUGUCCUCUGUCCCUUUGUCCUCCCUUUGACCACACAUGGCUUUAGUCUCCCCACGCAGCUUGGCCUCUCUCUGAGCCACAGCUCGUCUCUUUGGUCCAUGUGUCCAUCUUCAGGGCUGUGGUUGAGCACGAGAGGAACAAGUCGAGUUUUGAAAAGUUGUGGAUGGCUGAACUUUUGUGAAGUUUUUCUCCAGUGACAGUUGUAAAGCAGAAGGAUGGUUAAAUGAUGCAGGUCUGAUUCUGCGCAGGACAAGAUACUUUUGUUUGGACCAGGUGGAACGUUAUUUCCUGGCUUCAGACCAUUCACUGUGGUGGUCUCUGUCUUGAAGGGUGUUGUCAGGUUACAGGUCUUGUAGUUGAAAAAUGGAAAACAGUCUCUAAGUGAUCUAAAACAAAUUUUCUUAUAUUCCCCCCUUUGACACAUUUAUGUGUCAAUUUUGUUCUACAGGCUUAGUUGACUUAGUUGUCUUCUACUGUAAGAAAUUAUGUUGGUUAAAUUCCACUUCUGAAAGAAACAUUUUGUUAAAACUUUUAGUGGUUAGUUGUUAAUGUUGUUAGUCAUAAGAUGUUUGAAGAAAGGAAGAGAAAAUUAUGCAGCAUCCAUAUUCCCUGUAACAAAAACUAUAAAAAAUUUAAAUUAUUAAAGAAAUUCGCAGGUGCAUAGUGGUCAAGGAUGGUCAAGUCAGUCAAGUCAAGUUUGUUGUGAUCACAAGUGGCUUUGAUACGGCCUUCAUUUUGUUUUUAAGAGAGCUCACCAAAAUAUACUGAAUUUCUGGAGGAACCAAUUACAACUACGGAGUUUUCUGGUACCAGCUGGACUUUUUUAGGACAUCAUUAAAAAUCAAUAAGCAAAACAAAACAAAUAUCAUUAAAAAAGAAAAUAUAAAAAAAAAGUAACUCUAAAAUGAGCAACCCAGUUAACUUGAUCCUUGAUCCUAUCAUUUUUCUUGCUGACACUGUUGACAACAGGCUCAAAUGUUAAACACAGAUUUUCUGACAAUGCACAAUUUACAAUCAUACAUUUUGACUGUUCAGGUCCCAAGGACACUGAAACAUAUAGUCACACUCUGUAUUUUAGCACAAUUUUCUGUAUGUAAAUCUUUUUUUUUUUUUUUUCUUUUUUUUUUUUUUUUUUUUCAAUUCUUUUUCUUUCUUUUUUUUUCAAAUUUUUUUUCAAUCUUUUCUUUUUCAAUUUUUUUUUUUUUUUUUUAACAUGUUGCAACAGUUCAACACAUAUGUAAGUUUACAUUUGUCUUCAAACAUUUUCCAUUUACAAUACAUAAUAUCUCCAUUCUUAACUGCUCCCUUGAAUCUACUCUCCCUCAUGAGAAAGUCUCAGCCCGUCUUUACACUCAACUACACAGGGAAUUGCACCCUUUUGCCUUUUUCUAGUCAGUAACCCUAGAUAGGAGUUUCACCUAGUGACUGUUCGGUAAAGAGCAGGGACUUUCACCCAUUUGACUGUUCACUAGCUAGUUACUACUAGAGGGGAAUUUCACCCAGUGACUGUUUGGUAGUUCGCUGUAGUGACUGUGCUUAGUUCUACUCUGGAGAAUACAUUCAAGUAGUCCAAAUUCUAGAUACUAUGUAAAGCAAAAUGUAACAAAACUAAACCCAUGUUCAUUAAAAUACGAGGGCAAGUAAAUCAGAAAGGGAAAAAAAAAAAAAAAAAAAAACAUCAGUAGCCUUUAGAUUACUUCCAAAUGAAAAUCAUUAAUGUCCCAGGAAGUUGGAGAUGGAUCAUGUGCGGGGGUUGUGACUGGGUCACAGUCAGCACAGCAGGCGGUAGCGUCAUCACAGGUUAGGGAAGAGGGUGGUGGCGUACUAUAGUUCCAUAUUGGCUUUUGGGUCACAAGCUGACUUGGAGAAGAUGGUGUAAAUGCAGAGGGCUCAUGGCGUAAAGAGCACUCUCGUCUCCAAUGUCCAAGUUGACAACAGAUAAAGCAUGGUUCUUUGGAAAAUCUUCUCUUGUUCUUUCGAUUGGCUUUUCUCCUCUCUUUGUUCUGCUUACAUGUUGGCUGAAGAGUCUUUAGUUGUUUCUGAAAUCUUAAAUCUAGUUGGUGAUUUUCACUUUCAUGUGUCUUAUUGUACAUAGUCACAGCUGCCAUAUGCAGUUCUUUCUGCAUUCUCUCUUGCUUCAUUACUUUCUUUCUCAGUAGCUGUUCAUAUGCAUGUGUGGCAUGUCUUUUCAGUUCAGUUAGGCGAGCAGCAUUCCAGCCAAUGCAAGUUUUCUUCACAGCUGAAGAAAUGUCUGUUUUUAGUCCACUGAUGAAGUAGUUACACAGGUAUGUUUCCCAAACAUCACGAGUCACACCUAAGUGAUCAGGUCUUGUAAAUCCACUGUGGGUGUUAUACACUUCUGUUAAACGUGUGAGAAACGCUUCAGGGUCCUCAGCCUCUCUUUGUUUGCAGGAUUGGAUUUUGUCAGUAUCGAUGGAGGCAGGAAAGGCUUUGGUGAUAGCUAUGCAGAUGUUGUUCACAGCUUCCCUAUACAAAGCAUUAGAGUCAUGUUUCCAAUCCACGUGAUUGCAUCGCAGUUCAAUGUUCUGCAGUUGAUCAGCUAUUUUAUGCCAUUCUGUAGGUUUCAUUUUCAUGAUCAACACUCUCCUCAGUUCACUCAUAGUGGGCUUGAAGUCUUGACAAAACGUGUUUAGUUCUUUAGCAAAAGUCUGACCUGAUGUUGUGGGAUUGGGCAGAUGUUGAGAUGCUGCAGAUAUUUCAGAAGAAGUCCAUGGACGGAAAACUAAUGUUGGAUUUUGUUGACCAGAGACUUCAACCAUUGGCAUAGUGAGCGUUGCUUGUUCAACAUGGCGGUGUAGUCUCUGAGCAGUGGAUGAAAAGUCCUGUUGUGAUGGGGGUGGUGGAGCUUUGAGUUGUGAGAAGUUAUUUGGUGAAGGAUCAGACAGCAACUGUUGAGACAAAGAGUUCUGCGAGUGGGGCUGUUUCAAUUCACACAUUUCAGUUGCAUCUUUAAAGAGAAGAGGUUGUUUGUACAUAGAUUUUCUUAUUUUGCUCUCAGCUUCAUCUUUCCACAUUUUGACACAGUCCUUGUAAUUUUCAAUGUUGUCUAAUUUUUUUAUUAGAAAUUUUACUUUUUCUUUCACUUCGACUUCAAUCUCACAUAACUUGUUUUCCAAUGCCAGAACAUUCUUUAAAGUGAAUGCACCAAAUUCUGAAGAAUUCUUAUCUCCAUGUUUUCUUCUCAAAAAAUCAACAAUGGAACCUUCUGGUGGUGUAUACUCCCUUGAAGUUUUGCUCCCCAUUUUGUUUUUGCACUUGUAACUUCCAAUAGCUUAGUUUCCGUGGCUUAAAAAAGAGCGGUCUAGAAUGUCCCAAAGGUGAGGAAAUUAAAAGCGGGGAUGGUCUUUGUUGUUGACACUGUAGUUGCAGCAUGAUAUUUUUGAGCCAAAAUAUUGAAAAAGGUCAAUCAAGUAAUUGAAAUAUGAGAAUUUUGCUUUUGUGAGAUUAAUUUAAAAAUCUAUAGGAAUAGGGUUAGAGUUUGGCAUGUUUCAAAAAGUCCAUUUAACUCCAAUAGGAGGCAUACUGUCCUUUGAACAUUUCCAAGUGUUUGUAGAUGAAGGUUUCCAUUAAAUUAUCUUAAAUGAAAUAAAGUCUAUUUUGCAAAAGCUCACCAAGCAAAUCUUGUUCGAAUCCAGCGGUGAUGAUCCAGGAGAGAAGCCAAUGUCCAUCCAUGUCUUUCAUUGCUCCAUGCAUCCGAGAAAAAACAAAAGCUGACAAAAUUCCAUUUGCGCUGUGUUCUGGACGGUCACUCGUGGAUCCCGCUUCUUGACACCAAAUUGUUGUGGCAAAAAUUAUAUAUCUCUUGAAGAUAAAUAAUGAAUCCAUUUGCGAAGCCCGAUGAGUUUUUGGAAUAUAGACCAAGGUUUAUUCUUGUUACAGCAGAUAUGGACAGGGUCUAGGCCUGUUUCGGCCAAAGCCCAACAGCCUCUCACCCCUGUCUCCUCCCGUCUCUUCCCAUCUCCCUCCCCAGAGCAUUUGAGCUCUGAGUAUUUAUACAGAAAUACAAGUCACAUACAUAUCAAAGCAGAGUGACUUUGGUUUCAGAGGGUGGUACUAAAUUAACAUACAGUUGAGGACAACAAAAGGCUUCCUGAAGGCGGAGACAGUUGUGCCUGAUGAACCUUUACACAUGUUAAUGACUGGUCUGGGUUUCAGGUAGAAAUCACAUUAAUUUACACAAGACAGAUUGAGAGAAAUCUUUCCACAAUCUAAAUUUCUAUCACAGGUGAUUUGCAUUUCGCCGGGGGGUAGCCUCUUAGAAGAUGGCAUUACGUGGAGGUUCACUUCGUGCUACAUCGUCUUCAGUCCGCCUUAAAGACUUGGUCAGGAGAGACACCUUAAGGGAAAAGACGCUCACCGCGGAACACGAAAAGGCUCAGGUGGAACACAAACCCCUAGACCCACACCAAGCUGCCGGAGCCAGGCCCAAGUCCGGCAGACCCUUGAGACGAUCCAGCUCCGUGACUUCGGACGAAUGGAGGCGAGCGGAGGUCACAGAAAGCCAAACGGAGAAAACCAGAGACCAGAGGGCCGAUUCAAAACAGACAAGAGCAGCGGCUGGGAGGUCUUCUGUGAGGAACCCUCCGCCUGAACCUGAACCAAAGCCCCCGCACCCACACCAAGCCGCCGGAGCCAGGCCUAAGACCGGCAGACCCUUAAGAAAAUCCAGCUCCGUGACUUCAGAAGAACGGAAGUGUGAGGAGGUUACAGAGAGUCAAAAAGAGAAAACCAAAAGGCUCCAGAGAGAACAGAGAGCCGAUUCCAAACAGACAAGAGAAGUGAACAGAGCUCUGAGCCCUCCGUGUUUGUACUGUAAGGGAGAUCACGCCUUUCCAGAGUGUCUCCAGUUUGCAAAAUAUCCAGAAAGGCUAAGGUUGGAGGUCGUAAGAAAUUCAGGCCUCUGUUUCGGGUGUUUGGGUCAAGGACAUUUUUCAAGAGACUGUCCAGCAAGAAUCGUCUGCUCCAUUUGCUCCAAGGACCAUCCUAGAAUUCUGCACAUAAAGACAAGAGACGAGAUGUUUGAGGAGAUGAAGGAAGGUUUGAAGUUUUUUGUCCUCUCUCGUCAACCAAACAAACCACGACCAUGAUUAUUAAAUGACAGUCAAAAAUAUAUAUAAAAAACCUUUCCUAACCUUAAAGGUGCGUAACUCUUCUGGAGAGGGUCCUCAACCUGUUUGUCUCCGUGAAGAUGUCAACGGUUUAGUUUAAAUUGUCCACAGUUUGGUUUUAAACUUUUCUGUCUUGUAUUUAUCCAACUACGGUGUUGUUUAUAUCCAAAAAUAUAAACGCCUCUCCACAAAUCGAACCUGUGAUUUGGAUCGCAAGUCUUCGUGAAGGUUCAUAGGUUUGUGUCCAUUCUGUGGAACGUUCCAGACGCAUCUUCAUGGAGACCAGCAGGUGACGAACCCUCCACCACAAAAGAUCCAAACUGCAGCUUUAACUACAGCCCUGGUCCUGAAAAGCAGGUCUAAUCUAGGUCUAAACCAGGUCUGUAACAGAAAUAUUCCAGGUCUAAUUUUGGUCUAAAAAAAAAAAAAAGGUCUAUAACAGGACUAUUUCAGGUCUAAUCUAGGACUAAACCAGGCCUAUUCCAGGUCUAAAGCAGAUCUAAAUCAGGUCUAUAACCAGACAAAUCUAGGACUAAACCAGGUCUAUAACAGGACUAUUCCAGGUCUAACCUAGGUCUAAACCAGGUCGAUAACAGGACUAUCCUAGGUCUAAAGAAAGUCUAUAAUCUAGGACUAAACCAGGUCUAGAACAGGACUAUUCCAGGUCUAAUCUAGGUCUAAACCAGGUCUAAUCUUGGACUAAACCAGGACCUAUUCCAGGUCUAAAUCCUGUCUACAUCAGGUCUAUAACAAGAUUAAUCUAGGACUAAACCAGGUCUAUAACAGGACUAUUCCUGGUCUAAUCUAGGACUAAACCAGGUCUAUUCCAAACGUCAUCACCAGGAAUGACUAAUCCUAGCAGACUUUUCAGAUUUUUUUAGCACUAAGUCUAACUUUAACUCUAGAUCUAUUUAUCUUUCUGUCUAUCUUCUGUAUCUGCUCCGUCUCUCCCUCCUCUGCAUGAGGGCGGAGUCUUCCUGGAAUCACCUCCUUUAAGGCAAAUAAAGCCUCAGCUCCGAAGCCGGACUUUGCCAGAGUUUUCCGUCCUCUUCUUGAUCUUCAAAACAUCAGACAAACUUUGAGCUCUCGAAAUCUAUUUCUUUGUUUUCUGCUGUCGGUCUGCUGCGUCUUUGAGGUUGGGGCACGGUUUAAACUUUUCAAACUGCAAACCAAGAACCUCACAAUGAAUUUUAAACACGGAACUGUACUCUUUUCUUUGGAUUGUGGACUGUUUUUUGGGGAAAACUAACCUUCCAUGAACUUCUAAUAUCUGCAUGUGUAAGUCUGGCCAUUUUUUCAUUAUCCACCAUCUCAAUUCAAGCGAAGAAUUAUAAAUCGUAGCUCCAAGUACAAACGUAGAGCCAACUGUACUGAAUCCUCUGUGGCUCCUUUUCGUUUUGCAUAGCAUUUGCUUUGUUGGAUCAUUUGCAUCAGCCGACGUCUUUAAAAUGACAUUGCGUGGAGGUUCACUUCGUGCCACGGCCUCUUCAGUCCGCUUCAAAGACGUGAUCAGGAGAACCGCCUUCACAGAAAAGAUGCUCACUGCAGAAAAGGCGCCGCAAUCCUCGAUCGACAAAGCAGAAGUUCCAAAAACCCUUCAGACGUCAAUCGCGAAACUGCAAGUGUGUGAAGGUUCUGCCAAGGAUGGAAAAGAAGAUAAGCAAAUAAACAAACCUGUGAGAUCUUCUUUGAGGAACCCUCCGCCUGAACUUGAACCUGAACCUGAACCUGAACCUGAACACAAACCCCCAAACCCACACCAAGCCGCCGGAGCCAGGCCAAAGUCCGGCAAGACCCUUAAGACGAUCCAGCUCCGUGACUUCAGAGGAAUGGAGGCGAGCGGAGGUCACGGAAAGCCAAACGGAGAAAACCAAAACGCUCCCGAGAGAACAGAGAGCCGAUUCUAAACAGACAAGAGCAGUGAACCGAGCCCUCAGCCCUCCGUGUUUGUACUGUAAGGGAAGUCACCCGUUUAAAGAGUGUGUGCAGUUCGCGAAACAUCCUCACGACCUGAAGCUGGAAGUCUUAAAAAAGGCGGGCCUCUGUUUUGCGUGUUUGGGUGAAGCUCAUUUUCCAAAAAGCUGUCACUCUAGACUUCGCUGCCCCUUCUGCUUCAGGGAUCACCCUAAAAUCCUUCACAUACAGUCGCUGGACGAGUGGAUCAAGGAGCUGUUCAAAGAAAACAAAGAGCUCACAGUGGGUAAACUGUUUAACAUGAGACGGAGCUGCGACUUGGUGUGAGCUCCAGAAAGAAAACUGAACUGGACUACAUUUUGGACAGUUUCAUAUAAUAUUACUACAUCCCAGAGCAAGAUGCAUUCUUACAAGGGAUGUGACAAUAUCCAACUCUCCUGUUACGAUAUUAUCACAGUUAUUGUAUUGUAUUAUUGUGUUGUGUCAGUCAUGUGAUUUAAUGUUUUGGUGGCCGUACUAGAGGUCAAGACUGGGAUUAUUCAGUUUAUUACAAUAUAAUCAUGGUGACUUUAAACAGCGCAAACGACAUAAAACUGUCUGAAAUCACCGUCAUUAGAAAAAAUAUAAAUCUAAAGUCGUCCUCCUGGGUUGUGGAAUAGAUCUAAUUCCGAUGAAGCUUUGUCAGUCUAAUCAACGCUCGCUCUGUGCCCGACCUUUAGUCUCCAGAUAUUUACAACGACUUCAUUCAUUCGACAUCGUCCUGCACCAACUGAAAAUCUACACAGAGUUAGAGGAUUAUAAAUAUUUUGUAGUGGGACGCGUGAGAUCUUUGUUGAUCACCAAACGUCACAUCUGUUCCUGAAAACAGUCAGGGGAAGUAGAAUGGGGGUCAAAAUCAGAGCCGGAGCGACCGUUUAUUUUGUUUUGAACAGUUAAUUUUUAUGGAAACUGCUGUAACUUUUCAUCAUUCUAAAACGAUGUGAAUAUAAGAAAAAUAACCAAUCAUCUGUGUCUCUGAUAGGUAACCUGCUGAUCCUUGUAUAGUGUAAACAAAUAAAACUUUUUGUGCUCUGUAUUGUACAAAACUCGUCUGUGUAGCAGCUGCUUUGUAAAUUGUCUCUAAGCAUCAACUUAUUAAAGGCCUCAGUGUGACUCUG